UGGGGAAUAUUGCACAAUGGAGGGAACUCUGAUGCAGCGACGCCGCGUGAGUGAUGAAGGAAUUCGUUUCGUAAAACUCUGUUCUAUGGGAAGAAAAGGACUGUACCAUAGGAGAAAGCUCCGGCUAAAUACGUGCCAGCAGCCGCGGUAAUACGUAUGGAGCGAGCGUUGUCCGGAAUUAUUGGGCGUAAAGGGUGCGCAGGCGGCUUUACAAGUUGGAUGUGAAAUAUAGUGGCUCAACCACAGACGUGCAUCCAAAACUGCAAAGCUUGAGUUAAGGAGAGGUAAGUGGAAUUCCUGGUGUAGCGGUGGAAUGCGUAGAUAUCAGGAGGAAUACCGGUGGGGAAGGCGACUUACUGGACUUAAACUGACGCUCAGGCACGAAAGCGUGGGGAGCAAACAGG
rnacentral:rRNA from 1 species